rnacentral:rRNA from 1 species
UACGAAGGGGGCUAGCGUUGUUCGGAAUUACUGGGCGUAAAGCGCACGUAGGCGGCUUUGUAAGUUAGAGGUGAAAGCCUGGGGCUCAACCCCAGAAUUGCCUUUAAGACUGCAUCGCUUGAAUCCAGGAGAGGUGAGUGGAAUUCCGAGUGUAGAGGUGAAAUUCGUAGAUAUUCGGAAGAACACCAGUGGCGAAGGCGGCUCACUGGACUGGUAUUGACGCUGAGGUGCGAAAGCGUGGGGAGCAAACAGG